AUUGAACGCUGGCGGCAUGCCUUACACAUGCAAGUCGAACGCGAAAGCGGGGCAACCCGCAAGUAGAGUGGCGAACGGGUGAGUAAUACAUCGGAACAUAUCCAGUAGCGGGGGAUAACCUGUCGAAAGAUAGGCUAAUACCGCAUACGACCUACGGGUGAAAGCGGAGGACCGCAAGGCUUCGCACUAUUGGAGUGGCCGAUGUCGGAUUAGCUAGUUGGUGAGGUAAAAGCUCACCAAGGCGACGAUCCGUAGCUGGUCUGAGAGGACGACCAGCCACACUGGACCUGAGACACGGGCCAGACUCCUACGGGAGGCAGCAGUGGGGAAUUUUGGACAAUGGGCGCAAGCCUGAUCCAGCCAUGCCGCGUGAGUGAAGAAGGCCUUCGGGUUGUAAAGCUCUUUCGGCGGGGACGAAAUGGUACGUGCUAAUACCACGGAUCGAUGACGGUACCCGAAGAAGAAGCACCGGCUAACUACGUGCCAGCAGCCGCAGUAAAAC
rnacentral:rRNA from 1 species